UACGUAGGGUGCGAGCGUUGUCCGGAAUUACUGGGCGUAAAGAGCUCGUAGGUGGUUUGUCGCGUUGUUCGUGAAAACUCACAGCUCAACUGUGGGCGUGCGGGCGAUACGGGCGAGACUAGAGUACUGCAGGGGAGACUGGAAUUCCUGGUGUAGCGGUGAAAUGCGCAGAUAUCAGGAGGAACACCGGUGGCGAAGGCGGGGUCUCUGGGCAAUAACUGACGCUAAGGAGCGAAAGCGUGGGGAGCGAACAGG
rnacentral:rRNA from 1 species